rnacentral:tRNA from 1 species
AGAUUAAUAGUUAAAAAAAAAUAUUAAUUUUGUAAAUUAAAGAUAUACUUAAAAUAUUUAAUCUU